rnacentral:misc_RNA from 1 species
GAGUGCUCCACAAAGCAUUUGGUAAUUAUUAUUUUUAAUUACGAAUUAUUAUUAGCCUAAUUUCCUAAUAAAAUACGUCUAAAUGUCUUUUUUUUUUAAUAAGUAAAAUUUUAUUAAUAAAUUCAGGAAAAACUUGUCAAACAACAUUCCAAAUUAAUCCGAUUCUGAUACAUUCGAUCCAUUAAAAAACCGAGAUACAAAGUGAAAAAACUGGAACAGGAUACAAAAUAAAAUACAAGUGACCAGUGGCUCUACAGCGAGCAUGUCAAAACACAAACCAGUACAUAUUUCUUGGGUAAAAUCAAAGAUUUCUUUUGAAUUUUUGGAUUUUUUUUUUAUACUUUGGUGAAUUUUUAUGCAGGGAAGAGGAAUAUUAAUUGGAUAAAAAAAAUUUUAGGACAAAUUAAUUUAUACUUGUGAAAUUUAUAUAUAACUCCAAUGGAACAUUUAGCAUCCUCUCCUAAAAUUGAAUUACUGAAAAGAACUUUGAGAAUAGGUCCUUUGAGGAUCUAACCGCAUAAAAUGUAACUGAUGAAACAGGUAUGGCCCAGACCGCCCAAAGU